UGAGGAAUAUUGGUCAAUGGGCGAGAGCCUGAACCAGCCAAGUAGCGUGCAGGAUGACGGCCCUAUGGGUCGUAAACUGCUUUUAUAUGGGAAUAAAGUGAGGGACGUGUCCCUUAUUGCAUGUACCAUAUGAAUAAGGACCGGCUAAUUCCGUGCCAGCAGCCGCGGUAAUACGUAGGUGGCAAGCGUUGUCCGGAAUUAUUGGGCGUAAAGCGCGCGCAGGCGGUCACUUAAGUCCAUCUUAGAAGUGCGGGGCUUAACCCCGUGGUGGGAUGGAAACUGGGAGACUGGAGUGUCGGAGAGGAAAGUGGAAUUCCUAGUGUAGCGGUGAAAUGCGUAGAUAUUAGGAAGAACACCGGUGGCGAAGGCGACUUUCAGGACGAAAACUGACGCUGAGGCGCGAAAGCGUGGGGAGCAAACAGG
rnacentral:rRNA from 1 species